GGCGAACGCUGGCGGCGUGCUUAACACAUGCAAGUCGAACGAUGAACUUGGAGCUUGCUCUGGGGGAUUAGUGGCGAACGGGUGAGUAACACGUGAGUAACCUGCCCUGGACUCUGGAAUAACUUCGAGAAAUCGGAGCUAAUACCGGAUAGGACCUUGCACCGCAUGGUGUGGGGUGGAAAGUUUUUCGGUUUGGGAUGGACUCGCGGCCUAUCAGCUUGUUGGUGAGGUAAUGGCUCACCAAGGCGUCGACGGGUAGCCGGCCUGAGAGGGUGACCGGCCACACUGGGACUGAGACACGGCCCAGACUCCUACGGGAGGCAGCAGUGGGGAGUAUUGCACAAUGGGCGCAAGCCUGAUGCAGCAACGCCGCGUGCGGGAUGACGGCCUUCGGGUUGUAAACCGCUUUUAGUAGGGAAGAAGCCUUCGGGUGACGGUACCUGCAGAAAAAGGACCGGCUAACUACGUGCCAGCAGCCGCGGUAAUAC
rnacentral:rRNA from 1 species